UUUUUUAGGCAAUUACUGCGAGCCACUCUAGUAAUAAAUUGAACCCUGAUUUACAGCCGGUGGGUCAGAAGCACAAACCUGGGGAUUGUGAUGGGCCUCUGAAGUGGAGGCCGGUCUUGUGGGACUGAGCCCUGAACCUGCGUGAUCAACACUACCGCCAGGUAGACAGUGUCUGCUUUGAAGUGAAUCGCAGGACUCCUGGCUGUGUCUGCAGCAGAACUGCUUGCUUGCUGGUGGGGACAAAUCCCCACUAACCCUCCUUUAGCAGAUGAGUGCGAGCCCACGACCCUGGACCUCCAGAUUCCCAGGCCAGCACCAUGUCCCGAUGGCGUCACCAACGCUCUCUCGCGGGGGACACUGAGGCCCAGAGCGGCAGAGACUGGCCAAGGCCACGGACACUUUAUUGUACUCACCCUUCCUGUGAUGUCGUGAGACGGUAAAAUGCCCACGUGGUGAGACGGGGUGAGGCGAAUGGCGCGGGCACUGUGACGUGGUGUUGGGCCGGAGUGACCCAGAGCACGAGCACGGGACGGUUGAUCUGGUAACCACGAAGGCCACCACGGUGUGACUCUGGGGCAGCAGCGCAGACGUCUCGGAUACGCCGGACAAAGGGAUGAUUCUCUUUCCGGGCAGGACGGGAGUGGGAAGCCACAGCAUUCCAUCACGCUGCUCAGAACAGCGUGCAAUUUAGAACUCGUGAGUUGUCUAUUGCUGGAAUUUUCCAUUUAAUAUUGUCGGACCUGGUUGACCUCAGGUAACUGAAGCCGAGGAUAAGGAGGGAUGGCUGUGUCACCUCUCACAAUUCUUGGAUUGACUGGGCUCAGCUGGCCACUCUGGCUCCCGUGGUGUAGACUGAGGCUGUGGUCACCUAAGGGUUUGACUGUGUUAAUGGCGGCCCCUCCAAAGGCUGGCAGCUGGUGCUGGCCGUCACCCGGGAGCUCGAGGGGGCCUGCCCACCAAUGUGUCUCCUCCAUGUGGCCUUUCCACCCUGAUUGGGCUUCUCACGGUGUCUCAGCCGGGUUGCAGGAGGGAGUAUUUCAAAUGCUCUAAAACAAAAGCUGCAGCUAUCUUAAGACCCAGUCUCGGAAGUUAGGCAGUGCCACUGCCACCACAGUCUACAGGUCCAAGUAAGUGAGUCACAGUCCAGCCCCAAAUCAAGGAAUGGGGGAAUAUACUCCAUCUCUUGGUGGGAGGAGCUGCAAAGAUUUGGGCAAUCUUUACCGUAGUGUGGAUCCUGAGAAAUCGGCACAUGUGGGAUUAGUGUCAGAGAGAUGGGUUUGGAAUGGGGUUCCAGAAGGAUAGGGUCGUUUUGCAUUUUAUAAAGAAGGUCUGAGCAGGGCAACCAACCGCAAGGUUUCUGGUUGCAUAAACCACUUCAAACUUUUCCUUCUCCUUGUAGGCUAGGUAGUAGAGAGAACUCUAAUGACAGCAUAUUUUAUUGAGUGCUAAUAUGUGGACUUAAUCAAUUCUCCCAGUGGCCCUCAAUGCCUAUUUUACAGGUGAGGCAACUGAGGCUCAGCACUCCCCCUGAGUUUGUAUGAAUGUCUGAGUUGCUUGUCUGCACAUAUGUUUGCUCUCUUCUAUCUGAGGAGCAGGAAAAUGUCAUAAUAACUCCUUAGAGGAGGGAACCUAUGAUGGAUGAGAAUUUUCAUUCCACCCCCAGGAAAGGGGACCAGGACUUGGGGACACCAGCCUUGCCCCUGGCAGCUGUGCCUGGAAUCUGGGGCCCUGGCACUGUGAGGGCCACUCCUCUCAGGACCAGAGCACGGGGAGCAAAGAAGAGUCGCUUAUCUGCAGAAACCAUGGGCUGGUGGUGACCACCAUUCCCAACACCCCGAUCAUGCACUUGUGAUAUUAAUAAAAAUAAUUUAUGUCAUGUGACUGCUUUUUAACUAGCUGCUUUCAAGACUUAAGACCGGGAUUAUAAAAGGCAUGCAUUUAUAAAUUAUUAGCCCAGAGCUCAUAAGCACAUAUACUUUGGGGAACACUUUGGUAGCACUUUAAAUUAAUUUAUUGUCAUUCAUUCCAGCUGUCUGUGAUGUAAACCUUCAGCUAUAAAUUUGUACCAUCAUCUGACACGCCAUUAACUAAGGUGCUGCCCGAGCCAGAGCACAUAAUAAAACA